GCUUGCACUUUGCUGACGACCGGCGCACGGGUGCGUAACGCGUAUAGAACCUACCUUUUACUGGAGAAUAGCCCAGAGAAAUUUGGAUUAAUGCUCCAUAGCAUCAUUUUUUGGCAUCAUUAGAUGAUUAAAGAUUUAUCGGUAAAAGAUGGCUAUGCGUUCUAUUAGCUAGUUGGUAUGGUAACGGCAUACCAAGGCGACGAUAGAUAGGGGUCCUGAGAGGGAGAUCCCCCACACUGGUACUGAGACACGGACCAGACUCCUACGGGAGGCAGCAGUGAGGAAUAUUGGACAAUGGAGGCAACUCUGAUCCAGCCAUGCCGCGUGUAGGAAGACUGCCCUAUGGGUUGUAAACUACUUUUAUAGAGGAAGAAACCGCUCUACGUGUAGAGCUCUGACGGUACUCUACGAAUAAGGAUCGGCUAACUCCGUGCCAGCAGCCGCGGUAAUACGGAGGAUCCAAGCGUUAUCCGGAAUCAUUGGGUUUAAAGGGUCCGUAGGCGGGUUUGUAAGUCAGUGGUGAAAGUUUUCGGCUCAACCGGAAAAUUGCCAUUGAUACUGCAAGUCUUGAAUCGUUGUGAAGUGGUUAGAAUGUGUAGUGUAGCGGUGAAAUGCAUAGAUAUUACACAGAAUACCG
rnacentral:rRNA from 1 species